rnacentral:rRNA from 1 species
UAGGGAAUAUUGGUAAUGGGCGAAAGCCUGAACCAGCAACGCCGCGUGUGCGAUGAAGGCCUUCGGGUUGUAAAGCACUUUUUGGGGGGAUGAGGAAGGACAGUACCCUCAGAAUAAGUCUCGGCUAACUACGUGCCAGCAGCCGCGGUAACACGUAGGAGACUAGCGUUAUCCGGAUUUACUGGGCGUAAAGCGCGUGCCGGUGGCUCGGAAAGUUCGAUGUGAAAGCUCCCGGCUUAACUGGGAGAGGUCGUUGAAUACUUUCGGGCUAGAGGAUGGGAGAGGGAGGCGGAAUUCCGGGUGUAGUGCUGAAAUGCGUAGAUAUCCGGAGGAACACCAGUGGAGAAAGCGGCCUCCUGGCCCAUUUCUGACACUCAGACGCGAAAGCUAGGGUAGCAAACGGG